rnacentral:rRNA from 1 species
UUUGCGCAGGUGUUGCAUGCUGGCAGUGGAAACAAGAAUGCGUUUAAGGCACUCAUUGCCGCUGAAUACAGCGGCGUCAAUGUUGAGCUGGUGAAGGACUUUCAGAUGGGUGUCUCCAACCAUACUCCAGACUUUCUCAAGAUGAAUCUUAUCGAAAAGGUUCCUCUUCUUGAGACUCCUGACGGUCCUGUUUUUGAGAGCAAUGCCAUCGCACGAUAUGUUGCUCGCAUGAAGGCUGACAACCCACUUUACGGAUCUUCACUGAUGGAAUACGCGCACAUUGAGCAAUGGAUUGACUUUUCUGCCACGGAGGUUGAUGCUAACAUUGGAAAAUGGCUGUACCCACGUCUAGGAUUCUACCCAUAUGUUGCUGUGAUAGAGGACACAUUUAUUACUGCCUUGAAGAGAGCGUUGGGUGCCCUUGACACACACCUUGCAUCAAACACGUAUCUUGUUGGGCAUUCCGUGACUCUUGCUGAUAUUGUGAUGGCAUGCAACCUUUACCAUGGCUUCACUCGGAUCAUGACCAAGAGUUUCACAUCCGUGUUCCCUCACGUGGAAAGGUACUUCUGGACCAUGGUUAACCAGCCAAACAUGAAGAAGGUCAUGGGGGAUGUGAAGCAGGCAGAGUCCGUCCCACCAGUUCAAAAGAAGGCUGCGGCACCAAAGGAGCAAAAGCCCAAGGAUGCCAAGAAGGAAGCCAAGAAGGAGGCCCAGAAGCCAGAGCCAGUUGAGAAAGCAGAGGAGGAAGAGGAGGCACCAAAACCAAAGCCAAAGAAUGCUCUUGAUUUGCUUCCUCCAAGCAAAAUGAUCCUUGAUGAAUGGAAGAAGCUGUACUCCAACACCAAGACCAACUUCCGGGAGGUUGCCAUAAAAGGCUUCUGGGACAUGUAUGACCCGGAGGGCUACUCCCUGUGGUUCUGCGACUUCAAGUACAACGAGGAGAACACCGUGUCCUUCGUGACCAUGAACAAGGUGGGUGGGUUCCUGCAGCGGAUGGACUUGUGCCGCAAGUACGCCUUCGGCAAGAUGCUUGUGAUAGGCUCCCAGCCACCUUUCAAGGUCAAGGGGCUUUGGCUCUUCCGUGGCCCUGAGAUCCCCCAGUUUGUCAUGGACGAGGUGUACGACAUGGCCCUCUAUGACUGGGCAAAGGUUGAUCUCUCUGAUGCGGCGCAGAAGGAACGCGUCAGCGCCAUGAUCGAGGACCUCGAGCCGUUUGAGGGCGAGGCGCUGCUGGACGCGAAAUGCUUCAAGUGA